rnacentral:rRNA from 1 species
GAUGAACGCUGACAGAAUGCUUAACACAUGCAAGUCAACUUGAACUUCGGUUUGGGUGGCGGCCGGGUGAGUAACGCGUAAAGAACUUGCCUCACAGUUAGGGACAACAUUUGGAAACGAAUGCUAAUACCUGAUAUUAUGAUUUUAGGGCAUCCUAGAAUUAUGAAAGCUAUAUGGGCUGUGAGAGAGCUUUGCGUCCCAUUAGCUAGUUGGAGAGGUAACGGCUCACCAAGGCGAUGAUGGGUAGCCGGCCUGAGAGGGUGAACGGCCACAAGGGGACUGAGACAGGGCCCUUACUCUAACGGGAGGAAGCAGUGGGGAAUAUUGGACAAGGGACCAAGAGUCUGAUCCAGCAAUUCUGUGUGCACGAUGAAGUUUUUCGGAAUGUAAAGCGCUUUCAGGUGGGAAGAAAAAAAUGACGGUACCAACAGAAGAAGCGACGGCUAAAUACGUG